GUGCUCACUUCGGCAGCACAUAUACUAAAAUUGGAAAGAUACAGAGAAGACUAGCGUGGCCCCUGCACAAGGAUGACACGCAAAUUCGUGAAGCAUUCCAUAUUUUU
rnacentral:snRNA from 1 species